rnacentral:rRNA from 1 species
GCCAGACUCCUACGGGAGGCAGCAGUGGGGAAUAUUGGGCAAUGGGCGCAAGCCUGACCCAGCAACGCCGCGUGAAGGAUGAAGGUUUUCGGAUUGUAAACUUCUGUCGCGAGGGACGAAGAAUGACGGUACCUCGUAAGAAAGCCCCGGCUAACUACGUGCCAGCAGCCGCGGUAAUACGUAGGGGGCAAGCGUUGUCCGGAAUGACUGGGCGUAAAGGGAGCGCAGGCGGCGCGGCAAGUCUGAUGUGAAAGCCCGGGGCUCAACCCCGGGUCUGCAUUGGAAACUGUCGAGCUAGAGUGUCGGAGGGGUAAGCGGAAUUCCUAGUGUAGCGGUGAAAUGCGUAGAUAUUAGGAGGAACACCAGUGGCGAAGGCGGCUUACUGGACGAUGACUGACGCUGAGGCUCGAAAGCGUGGGGAGCAAACAGGAUUAGAUACCCUGGUA